UGGACCAUGACUCCAGCACGGACCGCCGAG
rnacentral:sRNA from 1 species